AGAGUUUGAUCCUGGCUCAGAUUGAACGCUGGCGGUAUGCUUAAGACAUGCAAGUCGUGCGGUAGAAGGCUUCGGCUUUUGAGAGCGGCGGACGGGUGAGUAACACGUGGGAAUCUGCCUAUUAGUGGGGGACAGCCCAGCGAAAGCUGGAUUAAUACCGCAUACGCCCUACGGGGGAAAGCAGCAAUGCGCUAAUAGAUGAGCCCGCGUAAGAUUAGCUAGUUGGUAAGGUAAAGGCUUACCAAGGCGACGAUCUUUAGCUGGUCUAAAAGGAAGGCCAGCCACAUCGGGACUGAGACACGGCCCGGACUCCUACGGGAGGCAGCAGUCGGGAAUAUUGGACAAUGGGCGCAAGCCUGAUCCAGCAAUACCGCGUGUGUGAAGAAGGCCUGCGGGUUGUAAAGCACUUUCAGUUGGGAAGAUAAUGACGUUACCAACAGAAGAAGCACCGGCUAACUCCGUGCCAGCAGCCGCGGUAAUACGGAGGGUGCAAGCGUUAAUCGGAAUUACUGGGCGUAAAGCGUGCGUAGGCGGUUAUUUAAGUCAGAUGUGAAAUCCCCGGGCUCAACCUAGGAACUGCAUCUGAUACUGGGUGACUAGAGUGUGGGAGAGGAGAGUGGAAUUUCCGGUGUAGCGGUGAAAUGCAUAGAGAUCGGAAGGAACAUCAGAGGCGAAGGCGACUCUCUGGACCAACACUGACGCUGAGGCACGAAAGCGUGGGUAGCAAACAGGAUUAGAUACCCUGGUAGUCCACGCCGUAAACGAUGUCAACUAGCCGUCAGUCUCGCUUUAGAGAUUGGUGGUGGAGCUAACGUAUUAAGUGACCGCCUGG
rnacentral:rRNA from 1 species